ACUCCUACGGGAGGCAGCAGGUGGGGAAUCUUAGACAAAUGGGGGGAAACCCUGAUCUAGCCAUGCCGCGUGAGCGAUGAAGGCCUUUAGGGUUGUAAAAGCUCUUUCAGCUGGGAAGAUAAUGACGGUACCAGCAGAAAGAAGCCCCGGCUAACUCCGUGCCAGCAGCCGCGGUAAAUACGGAGGGGCUAGCGUUGUUCGGAAUUACUGGGCGUAAAGCGCACGUAGGCGGAUU
rnacentral:rRNA from 1 species